CCUUUCCAGGGGACCACGAUGGCCGCACCCUCGCCCUGUGGGGCACGACCACCUAUGACCUCGUUUCCUCCACCCGCCUCCCGGAGCCGGUGCAUGGCGUGGCCUUCAACCCCUGGGACGCCGGCGAGCUCACCUGUGUGGGCCAGGGCACUGUCACCUUCCGGCUCCUGCAGCAGCGUGGGGCAGACAUCAGCCUUCAGGUGCGUCGAGAGCCGGUCCCAGAGGCAGUGGGGGCUGGAGAGCUGACCUCGCUCUGUUAUGGGGCACCCCCCCUGCUCUAUUGUGGCACCAGCUCUGGCCAGGUCUGUGUCUGGGACACGCGUGCCGGCCGCUGCUUCCUGUCCUGGGAGGCAGAUGACGGUGGCAUUGGACUG
rnacentral:sRNA from 1 species